AACGAACGCUGGCGGCAGGCCUAACACAUGCAAGUCGAGCGAAGCCUUCGGGCUUAGCGGCGGACGGGCGAGUAACGCGUGGGAACGUGCCCUUUGGUACGGAAUAGCCCCGGGAAACUGGGGGUAAUUCCGUACGUGGUCGAGCGACGAAAGAUUUAUCGCCAAAGGAUCGGCCCGCGUUGGAUUAGGUAGUUGGUGGGGUAAUCGCCUACCAAGCCGACGAUCCAUAGCUGGUUUGAGAGGAUGAUCAGCCACACUGGGACUGAGACACGGCCCAGACUCCUACGGGAGGCAGCAGUGGGGAAUCUUAGACAAUGGGGGAAACCCUGAUCUAGCCAUGCCGCGUGAUCGAUGAAGGCCUUAGGGUUGUAAAGAUCUUUCAGUGGGGAAGAUAAUGACUGUACCCACAGAAGAAGCCCCGGCUAACUCCGUGCCAGCAGCCGCAGUAACAC
rnacentral:rRNA from 1 species